ensembl:lncRNA
CAGGUGGUAUCUGAUGCUACUGAGCCAGAUGUCUAUGUGUCAGGGGAGAAGCUCCAGGUGGUAUCUGAUGCUACUGAGCCAGAUGUCUAUGUGUCAGGGGAGAAGCUCCAGGUGGUAUCAGAUGCUACUGAGCCAGAUGUCUGUGUGUCAGGGGAGAAGCUCCAGGUGGUAUCUGAUGCUACUGAGCCAGAUGUCUGUGUGUCAGGGGAGAAGCUCCAGGUGGUAUCUGAUGCUACUGAGCCAGAUGUCUGUGUGUCAGGGGAGAAGCUCCAGGUGGUAUCUGAUGCUACUGAGCCAGAUGUCUAUGUGUCAG